AUUACUUAUGCUACAUCUUACGGACUUUCAACAAUACAGGCCCAAUUGUCAUGAAUAAUGAAACACCCCUAACUAAAGAUGUAGCAAUGUCCUCACUGCAUAAAUAAUUAAGGGUAGAAGAGAUAAGGGUGCUUCUUGAAACUCUAUCAAGGGCUGCUAUCACUCGCAAACCCUGCACCAUCACCAUCUUCCUCAAGAUCUGACCACUUGGCUGGGGCCUCAUUAUCACUGUCCACCCA
rnacentral:lncRNA from 1 species